AUAUUUUCUAGACUUCUCCUCUUUCUUCCAUGUGUUUUUCUCUAGAACUUUCUAGUCCAAAUCCCAUUCUUAUAUUACUCACAAACUCACUUGUUUAUCCAUCUUAAUUGUAAUUAGCAAAGUAAUGGAGGAUGUAGUGAAAGUGAAGGUCGAAGAAGAUGGCAUUCCGACGGCCGUGCUGCCUAUGGAAGGGCUGCACGACGUUGGUCCGCCGCCAUUUCUGAGCAAAACUUAUGAAAUGGUGGAAGAUUCCUCAACUGAUCAAGUCAUAUCAUGGAGCACAACAAGGAAUAGCUUUAUUGUUUGGGAUUCUCAUAAGUUUUCCACCACAUUGUUGCCUAGGUUUUUCAAGCACAGCAACUUUUCCAGUUUCAUUCGGCAGCUUAACACAUAUGGAUUUAGAAAGGUGGAUCCUGACAGAUGGGAAUUUGCGAAUGAAGGUUUUCUGGGAGGGCAAAAGCAUCUUUUGAAGACGAUAAAGAGGAGGAGGAAUGUUGGUCAGAGUAUGAAUCAACAAGGAUCUGGUGCUUGCAUUGAAAUUGGUUAUUAUGGGAUGGAGGAGGAGCUAGAAAGAUUAAAGCGGGAUAAAAACGUGUUGAUGACUGAAAUAGUUAAACUUAAGCAGCAACAGCAGAGUACGAGGAAUCAGAUCAUUGCCAUGGGAGAAAAAAUCGAAACACAGGAGAGGAAACAAGAGCAGAUGAUGAGUUUCUUAGCAAAGAUUUUCAGCAAUCCAACUUUUCUCCAGCAGUACUUGGACAAACAUGUGCACAGAAAAGAUAAACAACGUAUCGAAGUUGGACAAAAGAGGAGACUAACGAUGACCCCCAGUGCUACAGGAAGUGAUCAGCCUACGAAUUACUCCUCAUCACACCAAGAGAGUGAAGCUGAGCUUGCAAGUAUUGAAAUGUUAUUCUCUGCUGCAAUGGACAAUGAAUCAAGCAGCAAUGUCAGGCCGGAUUCUGUUGUGACAGCAAAUGGAACUGAUAUGGAACCAGUGGCUGAAGAUAUUUGGGAAGAGUUGCUCAGUGAAGAUCUUAUAUCCGGGGAUCGAGCAGCAGAGGAAGUAGUGGUUGUUGAACAACCUGAAUUCGACGUGGAAGUUGAAGAUCUUGUUGCGAAAACACCUGAAUGGGGUGAGGAAUUACAAGACCUUGUAGAUCAACUUGGUUUCCUUUAGAGAUCACUCUUGUUGUUCCUCUGGCCUCCUCCACUAUUCCAGUAUCCUAUAUUGAGUUACUGCUUUCAAAUAUUUUGUAGCUAAUGUACUUGUUAUUUCUCUUCUAUAGCAGGGAAGGAUAGAGUUAUGGGUCGCCUAAAGCUAAAUUUUUUUUUUAAUAUUUUAUACUUCGUUAAUAUUUAGAUUGUACUAAUAUUUUUUGGAAAGUGAAGUGCAGAAUUGAUAUUUUUCUUUUCAUUUGAUUCAAUUUUUCAGGUUAAGAUGCAGAUAUACUACUUUCUUUCAUUUCAGGAAGCUUUGAGGCAGUCUCUAGUAGCGCAUGUUUACAAAAUCAUACAAUUGACAAUGGUGUAUAGCUUAAUUAUGGGUUCUGCAUUAUCUGGUGCUCAUAAACUUUUUAGGGGUUGUUUAAAUAUGCAGAGGUUAGUGGUUGGCUUGUAACUUGGAUGUUUGGUUCAUACCUAGAAAGUGGAUCUCUAUGGUGGAGAACGAAAGAGAGGAGAGGAUAGAGUAUACAGAGAUCUUAUAUUAGAUAUAUAGAUUGAGAAGAAAAGCAUCAACAUGGACUCGGCUUUCCUCUACUGUGCAUCAACCAACACCAGUUCCUUUAUACAACAUUGUGUCCACUUAACAAAUCAGUGUAUUUUUAUCACAGUUGAAGGAUAGUUUUUACUUCUUUACUGCUGUUCUUCCCAACAGUUCAAGCUGGUUUACUCCAGAACAAUCCAUGACAGUCAUAGAGCAUGCAUCAGUGUAAUUGCUUUCAAUUCAUUAGACUAAUAAACAGCUGUUUGAGAAUCUGAA